GAUAAAACCAGUGUUGAAGUUAACACAUUAAGUACUCCGCCUGAGUAGUACGUACGCAAGUAUGAAACUUAAAGGAAUUGACGGGACUCCGCACAAGCGGUGGAUCAUGUUGUUUAAUUCGAAGGUACCCGAAAAACCUCACCAGGUCUUGACAUGCUUUUGCAAAGCUGUAGAAAUACAGUGGAGGUUAUCAGAAGCACAGGUGGUGCAUGGUUGUCAUCAGCUCGUGUCGUGAGAUGUUGGGUUAAGUCCCGCAACGAGCGCAACCCUUGUUGUUAAUUGCCAUCAUUAAGUUGGGGACUUUAGCAAGACUGCCAAUGAUAAAUUGGAGGAAGGUGGGGACGACGUCAAAUCAUCAUGCCCCUUAUGACUUGGGCUACAAACGUGAUACAACGGCUGUUACAAAGGGUAGCUAAAGCGUAAGCUUCUGGCGAAUCUCAAAAAAGCAGUCUCAGUUCGGAUUGAAGUCUGCAACUCGACUUCAUGAAGUUGGAAUCGCUAGUAAUCGCGAAUCAGCAUGUCGCGGUGAAUACGUUCUCGGGGUUUGUACACACCGCCCGUCAAACCACGAAAGUUGGCAAUACCCAAAGCCGGUGGCCUAACUUGAGCAAUCAAGAAGGAGCCGUCUAAGGUAGGGUUGAUGAUUGGGGUUAAGUCGUAACAAGGUAUCCCUACCGGAAGGUGGGGAUGGAUCACCUCCUUUCU
rnacentral:rRNA from 1 species